rnacentral:rRNA from 1 species
CCUACGGGUGGCAGCAGUGAGGAAUAUUGGUCAAUGGUCGGGAGACUGAACCAGCCAAGCCGCGUGAGGGAUGAAGGUACAGAGUAUCGUAAACCUCUUUUGUCAGGGAACAAAGGCGGGGACGCGUCCCCGGAUGAGUGUACCUGAAGAAAAAGCAUCGGCUAACUCCGUGCCAGCAGCCGCGGUAAUACGGAGGAUGCGAGCGUUAUCCGGAUUUAUUGGGUUUAAAGGGUGCGCAGGCGGUCUGUUAAGUCAGCGGUAAAAGCCCGGGGCUCAACCCCCGGCCCGCCGUUGAAACUGGCAGUCUCGAGUUGGAGAGAAGUAUGCGGAAUGCGGGGUGUAGCGGUGAAAUGCAUAGAUAGCGCGCAGAACUCCGAUUGCGAAGGCAGCAUGCCGGCUCCACACUGACGCUGAGGCACGAAAGCGUGGGUAUCGAACAGGAUUAGAUACCUAGUAGUC